rnacentral:rRNA from 1 species
GACGAACGCUGGCGGCGUGCUUAACACAUGCAAGUCGAACGGAAAGGCCCUGCUUUUGUGGUGUGCUCGAGUGGCGAACGGGUGAAUAACGCGUGAGUAACCUGCCCUUGACUUUGGGAUAACUUCAGGAAACUGGGGCUAAUACCGGAUAGGAGCGCCGUCUGCAGGGUGGGGGUUGGAAAGGUUCGGCGGUUGGGGAAGGACUCGCCGCUUAUCAGCUUGUUGGUGGGGUAGUGGCUUACCAAGGCCUUGACGGGUAGCCGGCCUGAGAGGGUGACCGGCCACAUUGGGACUGAAAUGCGGCCCAGACUCCUACGGGAGGCAGCAGUGGGGAAUAUUGCACAAUGGGCGGAAGCCUGAUGCGGCAACGCCGCGUGCGGGAUGACGGCCUUCGGGUUGUAAACCGCUUUCGCCUGUGACGAAGCGUGAGUGACGGUAAUGGGUAAAGAAGCACCGGCUAACUACGUG